UACGGAGGGUGCGAACGUUAAUCGGAAUUACUGGGCGUAAAGCGCGCGUAGGUGGUUUGUUAAGUUGGAUGUGAAAGCCCCGGGCUCAACCUGGGAACUGCAUUCAAAACUGACAAGCUAGAGUAUGGUAGAGGGUGGUGGAAUUUCCUGUGUAGCGGUGAAAUGCGUAGAUAUAGGAAGGAACACCAGUGGCGAAGGCGACCACCUGGACUGAUACUGACGCUGAGACGCGAAAGCGUGGGGAGCAAACAGG
rnacentral:rRNA from 1 species